AGAGUUUGAUCAUGGCUCAGGAUGAACGCUAGCGGCAGGCUUAACACAUGCAAGUCGAGGGGUAUAGGUUUUCGGACCUAGAGACCGGCGCACGGGUGCGUAACGCGUAUGCAAUCUACCUUUUACAGAGGGAUAGCCCAGAGAAAUUUGGAUUAAUACCUCAUAGUAUUAUUGAGUGGCAUCAUUUAAUAAUUAAAGUUCCAACGGUAAAAGAUGAGCAUGCGUCCCAUUAGCUAGAUGGUAAGGUAACGGCUUACCAUGGCGACGAUGGGUAGGGGUCCUGAGAGGGAGAUCCCCCACACUGGUACUGAGACACGGACCAGACUCCUACGGGAGGCAGCAGUGAGGAAUAUUGGUCAAUGGGCGCAAGCCUGAACCAGCCAUGCCGCGUGCAGGAUGACGGUCCUAUGGAUUGUAAACUGCUUUUGUACAGGAAGAAACAGUUCUACGUGUAGAACCUUGACGGUACUGUAAGAAUAAGGAUCGGCUAACUCCGUGCCAGCAGCCGCGGUAAUAC
rnacentral:rRNA from 1 species